rnacentral:lncRNA from 1 species
GGCAACAAAAACCCAGAAAUGUCGAGUCUUUCGAAGAAAAGGCAUAAACUUUACAGUUGUUUCAGCCGUAGAGCAUCGGCUUUUCUCUAAAUUGGCCGUAUCUUGACUUGGAUUCUCAAAAGCACCUGCUUUAGAUUUGAGUAUGUUUACUUUGUUUUGCCUCGUUAGCCUAGAUUUCAUAGUUUUAUUGGUUCAGUGCUUGAAGUUGUUUUGAUAGUAGAUUAAUGGAAAAGUUUUGUCCUUUCUUGAAUCUAUAUGAGAAACAAUACUUCUGUAUCUAGUGAAGCGUUGGAGUUUGAUGGUGGUCACAUUUAGAAAUCACUCUGCGAUAUUGGUUAUAUAUGGUGAUGUUGGCGCAAUGUAGAGCUUAAAGUUCGCUCCUUUAUAAUGAUAUGACUGCUUCUUAAUGUAAUACAGUUUUCUUAUUAGUGUUUAUCUUUCGCUUCUUAAUCUCAGAUUAGGCAAUAAUUUCUCUACAAUCUCUAGGAGAAGAGCAUAUAAAGGUGUGGAGAACAUUGACAUAUGAUUGGUUUACAGUAAUCCUGCAGAGUCUGAAUCUCUUCCACAUCCACUGCUGUCACACAGUUACUUGCAACCUCCAGCUGCGCUUUCACCUUGUACCAAGUCCAUGCGCCGUGGCACACGCCAUGGACGAGCACAAACUGUUUCUGGUUCUUCUUCUCAAUUGCCUUUCUUACUCUCAACAUCUUGGUUCAACACUUGCAUACAUACGGUAAGUUUCCCAAAUACUCUUUGUAUAUUGGCUGUUAGUUUUUGGUCGUUCUCUGAGAUCUAGAGAAUGCUAAAACAACACUACAUUGAUUGUUAGAUUUCUCAUUUCAGCUAUAGUAUGAAAUAAAGUCUGAACGUUUAGAAAGAUCCAUUUUAGAACAUGUUCAAUUGUAUUAAAUCCAGAUACAUUUUUUGUUGGUGGACCUGAAGACUCCAUCUGAGGUCAUUUGUUGGCGUGUUAGAGUUCGUGGUGAUUGUUUCAGUGACCUUCACAGGUUAGAAGUGGUCAUAGUAUAGGCAGGAAUAAGUUAUUGAAACGAGAGAUUAUAAAAGAUUAGUUGAUCAGCUUAGUUAGUUUGGGUGAAAAACUGCUUAGAUUUCUCAAUAUAAGAACUCUUAUUAAUCCAGUGAGGAUCCUAGAUUUAUUUAGGCAAUAUUUACCUGCUAUCUUUAAACGAGAUGAUGACUAGAAUUCUUGAGGCUUUGAUACAUUGGAUCUGUAUCUUUGAUCCCCCAUUACUUCUUCAACCUCCUUAAUAUUCUUGUUCAUAAUCCUUCUAUGUUUAAAAUCCCUGGGCACACAUUAUCAUAUUUGCAUACGCGACCAGUCUCCACAGUCCACCCUUUCUCCUUGAAGCUUCAAGUUGUAACUUCACACACCCUAGCAGAAUCCUCGGCAAGCACAUACCACUCAUGGUUAUUUGCCUUCUCUUUUUAGCCUCUUUGUUCAUCUAUUCUUUUAACUAGUUUCUCUGGUAAUAGAAGAUAUAGAGAAUGGUUCACUAAUAUUUUACUGACCAUUUGUUUUUACUUAGUAUUGACUAUAAGAUCUAGCUAUGAUUAUAUGAACCCAUGAAACCUUCUUAAACAAAAUCAUAUUCGCACUGCUAAACAUUCUUCUAGUAUGCAUUUUCAGCUUGUCUACAUAUAGCAGAUCACGACUAACUUUUUUUUAAUUUUUUCAUAGAAGCUGAAGUUCAUAGUAAUAUACUUAUAAAUGCAGGUUUAUAGGCAUAUGAUCUACAUUAAUACGAUGCUGGAAAUUUUCAGGUAGUGUGUUAUCCUCUUCUUACAUUCUUAUUUAUAUAACCAUUCUUACAAAUAAUAUUAUUUGGUUAUGUCUUAUACAUAUAGAGUGUACUCACCCAUAUCACUCUCAUCUCGCUUAGUGUAGUCGUGAAGUUGAAUUUUGUAACUGUGAUGCAGUGAAGAUCUCAGAUUCAUUUAGGCAUAUUUAUCUGCAAUCUCCAAAAGACGAGUACAGAGUUCUUGAGGCUUGGAGAACAUUGCCAUAUGAUCUGCAUCUUUGAUCUUCAUUACUUCUUUUACUGGAAAGUUCUUGAUCAUCCAGCGCUGGUAAUCCUCGGUUAUCGCGCGGUCCUCUCCACAGAUGAUAUAUAUACGUGUAACGGAUCCAUACCCUUCCUCACUGAAGCUUCUUGUCCCUGCCAGAUUGUUUGUAACGAUCGGGUUUACCCUCACCAACAUUUUUGCCAAUUCAAGAUCCUAAUCCGCCACAACAAUCAUCAAUUAAAAAGUUGACUGAGGUUACAAGCAAAUCUCAUUUGGGUUUUAAGUAGGAGUCUUACUUGGACCGGAGAGAGUUGAUACAAAUCCCUGGCCAUGGAUUUUGGUCCGAAAAGAACAAACUCUAGAGGGCGAUCAGGUGUCCCGUAGGUUCCAAACACAGUAUCCAACGGUUCUUCUUGUGGAUCACUUCUGAUCAGCUGAUGAUUUCAGGCAGAUAUCAGAAAUCAAUAUGAAGAGAUCAGACUAUGCAAUCGAAUCAUCGUACCUUUUCAUAAACAUAAGCAGGUAGAUUUCUUGUGUCCGGCAU